AGGCUGAUCAAAAAGGAAAAGCAUAUCAUUACAAAUGUCAAAAGAUUUCAGUCUUCUGAGGAAUAACAAUCUGCUUUGUCCCCUUUUAUAUGCAGCAUUUACCUGCACCGACCAGUCCAGUCUAUUGUCAGUGUGGACGCUGAGGUACUUGUAUGUAUGUACAAUCUAAAUGUCAA